rnacentral:rRNA from 1 species
CGGUGCAAUCAUACUAGCACUAAUGCACCGGAUCCCAUCGAAAUUCCGGAGUUAAGCGUGUUUGGGCGAGAGUAGUACUAGGAUGGGUGACCUCCUAGGAAGUCCUCGUAUUGCACCCC